AGCUGCAAAGAAGGCAAAGCCUCUUUCUGGCGCUCGCAAACACGCUCGCGCCCCCCCUCACACACACACACCCCCGCCGCCGCGAGAGCCACGUGUGCCUUGGGAUCUCUCGCGGCCCUCCCGCCUCGUCGUCUCGGGAGGCGCGCCGGGGCUCGAGCUUUGCGCAAGGAGCGGUUUAGCCGCAGAGGCCCUGCUUGCUUUCGCCUCUUGCAGGUGGGCGGCGGCGGCGGCGGCGCUCACCAGCGCCCCUCAGGACCGAGCUCCCCCUCGCUGCCUCCCUCGCUUUCACCCACGGAGAGACAGAGAGAGGGAGGCUGCUUGACGGCAAGGGGGCGGCGGGCGCCCAAGGCGCCCCCCCCGGCUAAGCCUGCAGGGCAGGCGGCGCAGGCAGAAGCGGUAGCUGCUCAGAGGAGUCCACUUUUUUUCCCCUUUGACCUCGCCUCCGGGCCGGCCACCGGAGCAGGAGGAGCCCCACUUGCCCACCCUGACGAAGGCGCCCGGUACUAAGUCAUGGAUACAGUUACUAUCACCACAAAAUUGGAAGAUAUGGAAGUCUUCAGGGCUGAUCCUCUACCAACAUCUGGAAAGACAUGACACUGAUUUAGUACAACACGAUUUCUCUGUUGGGGCACCAUUAACCUUUAUUACCAUUGGUGUCUCCCAGUUCCAUUGCACUUUGUUGAAAUGGCAGUCUUCUGCAUACAGAACUUGAGAGUAAGUAUAAUUGAACACAGUGAAUAUAAUUUCUAAGCAAAUCUGCAUUAUUUGGGGUUACAGGACACCCAAGGAUUUUGUGUCCCAAGUCAUAGUGUAACAGAGAGCCUUUCUUGGAGUUUGCCACACCAGCUUAGAGCUCUUUUCCUCCAGAGGAUUGCUCUUCCUGAUUAGCUUGAAUCAUAUGCAAAACAGCUUUUAAAAAUUAUUAGUGCUGAUUGGAGCACCACCAUGUGGAAGAGACUUUUGGAGGUGUUAAUUCUCAAGGCCCUGAAGAAGAGUGUAAAGAGACGACAAGAUCAGAUUAUUUCAUAAUAAAUAUGCCUCUGAAAAACA
rnacentral:lncRNA from 1 species